rnacentral:misc_RNA from 1 species
GAUGAAGAACGCAGCGAAAUGCGAUAAGUAAUGUGAAUUGCAGAAUUCAGUGAAUCAUCGAAUCUUUGAACGCACAUUGCGCCCGCUAGUACUCUAGCGGGCAUGCCUGUUCGAGCGUCAUUUCAACCCUCAAGCCCUGCUUGGUGUUGGGGCCCUACGGCUGCCGUAGGCCCUGAAAGGAAGUGGCGGGCUCGCUACAACUCCGAGCGUAGUAAUUCAUUAUCUCGCUUAGGGUGUUGUGCGGUGCUCCAGCCGUUAAAGACCAUCUUUACUCAAGGUUGACCUCGGAUCAGGUAGGAAUACCCGCUGAACUUAAGCAUAUCAAUAAGCGGAGGA